rnacentral:rRNA from 1 species
GACGAACGCUGGCGGCGUGCUUAACACAUGCAAGUCGAACGGGCCUGUCUUCUUUUUUGGGGGGCGGGUUGAGUGGCGCACGGGUGAGUAUCACGUGAGUAACCUGCCCUUCGGUCCUGGAUAACCGCUUGAAAGGGCGGCUAAUACGGGGUGGUCCGGUUGGUCCGCAUGGGCUGGUCGGGAUAGAUUCACUGUUUUUGGUGUUUCGGCGGGGGAUGGGCUCGCGGCCUAUCAGCUUGUUGGUGGGGUGAUGGCCUACCAAGGCGGUGACGGGUAGCCGGCCUGAGAGGGUGGGCGGCCACACUGGGACUGAGAUACGGCCCAGACUCCUGCGGGAGGCAGCAGUGGGGGGUAUUGCACAAUGGGCGGAAGCCUGAUGCAGCGACGUCGCGUGAGGGAUGGAGGCCUUCGGGUUGUGAACCUCUGUUUCCGGUGGUGAAGGCCCUGUCCGUGUGGUGGGGUUGACGGUAGCCGGGGAUGAAGCGCCGGCUAACUACGUG